rnacentral:tRNA from 1 species
GGAGAGGUGCCCGGAGUGGCUUAUCGGGGACCGGAGCCCAGGCUCUUGGUCGGGUCGGUGCGGCCUGCGCAGGUUCGAAUCCUGCCCUCUCCGCC